rnacentral:rRNA from 1 species
UACGUAGGGGGCUAGCGUUGUCCGGAAUCAUUGGGCGUAAAGCGCGUGUAGGCGGCCCGGUAAGUCCGCUGUGAAAGUCGGGGGCUCAACCCUCGGAUGCCGGUGGAUACUGUCGGGCUUGAGUACGGAAGAGGCGAGUGGAAUUCAUGGUGUAGCAGUGAAAUGCGUAGAGAUCAUGAGGAAGACCAGUGGCGAAGGCGGGUCUCUGGACAGUUCCUGACACUGAGGCACGAAGGCCAGGGGAGCAAACGGG